rnacentral:rRNA from 1 species
GACGAACGCUGGCGGCGUGCCUAACACAUGCAAGUGGAGCGACGAACCAGGGCUUGCCCUGGGGCAAAGCCGCGAACGGGUGAGUAACACGUGGGUAACCUGCCCCGAUGACCGGGACAACCCGAGGAAACUCGGGCUAAUACCGGAUGUGCUCUUCACACAUCAGGGUGGUGAGUAAAGGAAGCUUCGGCCUCCGCUUCGGGAGGGGCCCGCGGCCCGUUAGCUCGUUGGGGAGGUAAAGGCUCACCAAGGCAACGAGGGGUAGCUGGUCUGAGAGGACGAGCAGCCCCACUGGGGCUGAGACACGGCCCGGACGCCUACGGGAGGCAGCAGGGGGGAAUCUUGCGCAAUGCGCGAAAGCGUGACGCAGGACCGCCGCGUGGGGGAAGAAGGCCUUCGGGUUGUAAACCCCUUUCAGGAGGGACGAAGGUUCGGCCGCGAAUAGCGGUCCGGACUGACGGUACCUCCAGAAGAAGCCCCGGCUAACUACGUGCCAGCAGCCGCAGUAA